CUUCCAAAGGUCACUCAACAUUUGUUCAUCUUGUAGAGGGAGAGCUAAUGACAAUGAGUAGCUUGGGAGAGGUACACAUCUAGAUGUCAUAGAACAAUGGGCCACACAGAUACACUUCAAUGCAAGUGUUGGGUUUCCUAUUCAGAAGAGAACUUGCUGAUUCUAGAAAAUGAUCCUUUGCUCCUUUGAAUGUGGAUAAUGAAGGGAUAUAGAUGACUAGACCAAAAUGUCAAAGCUCCCUGCUGAUGGAAGAGGCCAUUUAACCAGAACCAUCCAUGAAACACUCUGGACAAAGUGCUGGCUAAGGAGACUGGAUCCCUGACUUCUGCCUGUGGCUCACUCAUUCAACUAAUAUUUAAGUACCUGCUAUGUGUAAGCUUUUCAAACUAUAAUAAAAGCUCACCAGACAUGUGAGGCGUAUUCCUUCUGCAUAGCCACAGAUGGAAGUUCCUGAAUGGAGAAUCAUGGAGGUCCAGUGGCAGAACAAAAGUCAAGAGAUAGUGAAUGCUUUGUCAAGCACUGAAGAUCAAGCUCUAAGCACUCCCCAGGACCUACUUCAGUUGGAUUCAUGGCCAUUGGAAUAAAUUGUUCUCAACUAACCAUCCCACUGGAGGAAGUCUUCACAUGGUAGACAUCCCCCUUACUCACCAACAGGCUUGAGACAUGUUGGUUACCCUCAACCUGGUUUAGCCUGUCUAUCGAGAUAGUUUGCAGGGUAUAAUCACUGUGUGUGCAACAACUUCAUUAAGACACAAGUUGAGUGUUGAGUGAAUCAGGUGGACACCAAAGGUGGAUGGAUAGCCCUGAAAAGGCUUGGUAAGCUCUCACUGAACAUCCCAUACACCCCAGAAUUCAGACACACCAAAUGCAAACAUACUUAAGUAGCACCUUCUACAUGAUCAAAUCCCUGCUGAUUGGCUGGCCACUUCAGUGACAAAGCUCAGACUAUGAAGCAACAGCUGGCACAGGUGGGGACUGCAGGAGUAAAUACUCAAGCAAGUUGAAAGGGUCAUAUAGAUACUCAUAUCUCUUUGUAGACCUACUUAGCAAGGAGUGAGAAAUAUCCCCCAAAACAGGAAGGCAAAUGUCCCCUUGCUGGUUUUACUCUUAGCAAUUGUGACCUUAGAGUUCACCAGGUUAUGGCCAGUGAAUGGUAAAAAGCCUUAUCCUGACUCAUGCAGAAUGAUACCUCAGAGGAGGGGCAUGGACAGCCCCAUCCUGCAAUUAUACUAGUAUGUCAGCCCAGGGUGGGGAUCAGGAAUGCAAGUACAAUAAAGCUUUGGGGAGAAAGAUUACUAUGUACUUUAAAAACCUGUGUGUCCAAUGACAAGUUAUGUAA